rnacentral:rRNA from 1 species
AUUGAACGCUGGCGGCAGGCCUAACACAUGCAAGUCGAGCGGAUGAAGGGAGCUUGCUCCUGGAUUCAGCGGCGGACGGGUGAGUAAUGCCUAGGAAUCUGCCUGGUAGUGGGGGAUAACGUCCGGAAAUGGGCGCUAAUACCGCAUGCGUCCUGAGGGAGAAAGUGGGGGAUCUUCGGACCUCACGCUAUCAGAUGAGCCUAGGUCGGAUUAGCUAGUUGGUGGGGUAAAGGCCUACCAAGGCGACGAUCCGUAACUGGUCUGAGAGGAUGAUCAGUCACACGGGAACUGAGACACGGUCCAGACUCCUACGGGAGGCAGCAGUGGGGAAUAUUGGACAAUGGGCGAAAGCCUGAUCCAGCCAUGCCGCGUGUGUGAAGAAGGUCUUCGGAUUGUAAAGCACUUUAAGUUGGGAGGAAGGGCAGUAAGUUAAUACCUUGCUGUUUUGACGGUACCAACAGAAUAAGCACCGGCUAACUUCGUG